GACGAACCGUGCGAACGUUGUUCGGAAUCACUGGGCUUAAAGGGCGCGUAGGCGGGCUGACAAGUCUGGGGUGAAAUGCCGCGGCUCAACCGUGGAACUGCCUCAGAUACUGUCGGCCUCGAGGAAGGUGAGGGGCAGUGCGGGAAACUGUAGGUGGAGCGGUGAAAUGCGUUGAUAUCUAACAGGAACUCCGGUGGCGAAAGCGGCGUGCUGGACCUUUUCUGACGCUGAGGCGCGGAAAGCUAAGGGGAGCAAACGGGG
rnacentral:rRNA from 1 species